GUAAAAAACCAGGGCAACAUUACAAACAAGGCUAUGCUCUGCGGCAGAAAGUAGCCGUAGGCUCGGGAUAGCCCGCAUCACAAGGAUAUCGAAAAUCCACCCGUCACAAGUUCUACCCUAAAGCUACUAACCCUGCUUGAAUGCCGUUGUCCAAUAUACGUCAACCGACGCCUAAUUUAGACCAAUUUUGAUAGUGUGUUUGAAAACAGCUUCAGUCAGUUCUUUUCAAACAGGUUCGGUGGAGGGUCUGUGGAGAUAGGGGUUUGUUUUUAUAGCGAACCCCAAAUUGGUCUAAAUUAGACAUAGCUCCUACGACUUCCACGACUUUCGUCAAGCGACCCCAAAAGUCGUGCUGUCUCAUUUUCGUAAGGCUCCUACGACUUCCACGACUUUUACGACUUUUUUAUAAGUUUAAAAAAAAAGGAGAGGGGAGGGCAUAGGGGGGGAGGGGGGGGAGAGUGUAAGAAGUCAAAUAAAGUCGUGGAAGUCGUGGAAGUCGUAGGGGCUAUGUCUAAAUGACGGAACUUUUAUUCCACGGGCGCUAUAAAAAGUCGUGGAGGUCGUAGGAGCUAUAUCUAAAUCACGGAACUUUCGCGAAAUGGGAACAACCAGUUCAAGCGAUACUUACAAAGGUCUCAAACACCCGUCAAAAUCUCACAGAAGUUCCCAGAAACUUGCGUGAGGUUUCUAUAUAGGUUUGUGAAGGUCUGCCGUAGGCUAAAUCUCACAGGGUUCUAUAGAAGUCUAUGAAGGUUGCGGCCGCGAGGGGUCUUCAAAAAGGUCUCAAACAGGCUUCUUAAACAAAGGCUCAUUUUGGAGACUUGCGUAAGGUUAUGGGCCUUUUAGACAACACGCGAUAAUACAUUUAGUCAUUUAGACCAAAAUGAGACCAAAAACUACUUGUAGUUAUCACGUUGUGCUUUAAUUAACCAGCGGUCGGUCGGCACCACUGUGCACGGCAUUUCCCCGGGACCUCUCUGCGAACGAAAAAUAAAUGGGAUCUCCCGAGACAUCCUUCAAACCCCCUAAAACCCAUGAAAUAUCUCGCGGAUUUCCGCGAUACUUUACCCACAGACCAGAAAUGGCCGUGCGCGCCAACCCUAAACUUUUCGCGCCCCACAAACCCUAAAGGAUAUUGCGCGACGGGAACAUGAGACCUUUGAGAAACCCGCCUGACGAGACCUUCUCACCUUCUCCUGAUAUUUUAAUGUUCCCGUACCUCCGCUUUUUUUGUGUAAAAUUAGGUUCAAAUUGUGUAUAUUAUUAAGGGUGAGUGAAACGAACCUUGAACGACGCAGUCGGUCAAGCUUAAUAGUAUCACACUAUUUCACCUAAUUUUACACAAAAAAAGCGGAGGUACGUGUAGCCCUACGUGUACUUAUUCGGAACGUUGUACGGAAGACUUUU
rnacentral:lncRNA from 1 species